UGACCAACUGGCUACUACGUCACACAUGCUUCUGCUUGCUUGGAGCCGCCAACUCGGAAGGCUCUCCUCGCGACCGGCUCAGUCGGUUCAGUGAGUUACGAGUUGCGUCCGGGUUCGCCGUACGUACGAUAACGGGGGCGUCAAUCGGAUUGCGCGAUUGGGAGAGCAUUCCUAACCUCGUGCACGCUUUCCUCUCUCUCUCUCUCUCCCUCUUUCUAUCUCAUUCCCUGAUUCCCGUUCCCUUCUUCAUCUCUGUCGCUCCUUCUUCCGGCCCGUCCCUCUCAUUCGGCUAUGGGCAACAGGUUUGAAUUUAUGGGACAAUAAAGAGUGCGGUGCGUAGUGCGCGCGUGUUACCAUCUCGCUCACUCGAAUCCUCUCCUCUCUUUCCCGUCAACGGCCAACCUUUCGUCUCUCCCACGGACACGUCCCGGAUUCUCUCGCGCCGUCAACGGGAGAACAGCGUGCCGGAGACUAUCAAACUCUCAUAAAACUGUCAACCGCGGCCGGCCGGCUGACUUAUGCGCGCCCCUUCUUCCGACUGCGAUUCCCGACUCGUCCGCUUCUCGCCUCGGAUUCCGUUCGUUUCGCGGGCUCCGAAACACCUAAUGCGCUUGACAGUGGUCCGACAGUAGUGCUCCGUUCCUUCUUCGAAUCAUAAGCCGCAAGUCAAAGGUGUUGCCGAGGAUAAUCACACGGCAGCGUGGUGUCGCGCGACGAAUCGUGCGAGACAGGUUCGAGGAGACGAUCGAACGAUCGGUGAUCGAGAAGAACGCGGUAGCGGUCUCGCGGGGAACCACCUCUUCUUCCUUGUUUCCACGCCACGAGGGUGUACGCGGAAGGGGGCGCGUGCGCGCGUUGCCCCCUCGCAGAGACGGCAAGCGGAAGACUACUUCUUGGUGACGUUGCGGCCAGGAGGUUGCAGAGGAUAGAAGGAGAGAGAAGCAGAGUGAUCCUCGCCCCACCAUCGUUCCUCGGGGCUCCCGAAUAUCUCUCCAUUAGCCCCCCUGACUGUGCUAUCCCCUCUCUGUGACCCCUCGGAUUUCCUGUCUUGCUCGCACACCCCUCUCGUCGGCUCUUGUCACGUCGGGUAGCAGCCAGGCAACACUACCACACGAGCAAGCAGCAGCAGCAGCGCCAACAGCAGCAGCAGCAGCAGCAGCACUAGCACCAGCACCAGCACCAUCACAGAGCCGACGGAGACGCAAGGAACGGGGUUGAAGAAUCCUACGCCGGCGGAGAGACCAAUCAAGGUUUGACGAACGACGGGGAUUGGUCGAGGCGCUCCUCUGACACGCAGAGAGCGCGGGCACGUGACAAGCUACCGCACACACCGGGCCUCCGUUGGAUCGUGGCGAGGCCUUCAGUACGAUACCAACCACCCUCCGCGCACGCAACAGGAACGGUGAACGGCGAGCCGCGGCAAUACGCUUCACCCCCUAAUGCGGUGAUAUCGGUACACCGGGAUACCGGCUACGAACGACGAUUACUUCGUUCUUUCAAACAUUACAUCGGCUCGUGUUACGUUACCGUGCUCGAACUUUACCCGUGGUCCAUUCUUCUCGCGAAAUCAACGUCAAGGAUCUCACGGUAUAUAAAUAUCGUUUGAACGCGCGGUGAUUCGUGCGAAUAAAUCAUCGAGAGAAAAAAGAGAGAGAGAGAGAGAAAAGUAAAAAGAAAAAAGUGUGUACAGAGACUCGUCUUCAAUGGGGCGACCCGAUAAGCCCGCUGUUACGCGCUACUGCACGCUGCCUCCACGAGUCCUCUGUAGGUAAUUGCGACUCGUGAGAUCGUAAAGAAGCAGAAGACAGUUUUAUAGCCCAGGCCCACGUGGCCCUCGUAAGCUCGACUCGGCUCAGGUCGGUUCAGACUCUGCCCGCCUGCCGGCACACGGCUUGCUGCCUCUCCGUCUAUUCGCCGCGAUCCCCCUCGUUCAUUAUCGAGUCGUUUAGGGACGUGUUUAUCCGCGUGUAACAACGCGCGAUAGGUGUGAACUGGCUCCUGGGCCAACGGGACAGCAAAACGGUGAGCUGGUUUUUUCCACCCGGUCAGUGAUAAUAAAACCAUUGGGUCGGCUCGUUGUUGCUACCAGUGUGACAGAUACCACCGGGGUGCCGUCGUCGUCGUGAGACCAACGACGCGAUGACACGAUCCUGUAUUUAACGACAGUGCGCGAACAAGUUCCCGCCUGCCGUCUUUUGGGGGACCGAAGCGCGUUCGGUGCUGUGUUAUUGUUUUCGUGAAUGUCGAGCAGUACACGUGUGGAACGAUUGGCAGAGUGACGACGAGGACGACGGGUGAAGUCGCGUGAACGAUGAGUUCCUAUCAGUUCGUCAAUUCGCUCGCGUCAUGCUACGCGGGCCAACAGGCGCAACAGCAACCCCGAGCCACGGCAAAUUCACCCGGAGAACCAAUGCAAGCGGCGUCACCAGCAGGUGGAGACUAUUACAAUCCAAACGCCGCGGCGACCAGUUACCCGGCACCUUGUUAUUCGCCUCAGCAACACUAUCCUCAGCACCCGUACGCUACACCGGCCUCCGGAAUGCAGCACACAGCGCCCACAGGGAUGAUAGACUACACGCAAUUGCAACCUCAACCAAGACUCAGCGCGACCGCUACCUCGCAGCAGCACAGCCUGCACGCGCAACAAUCCCAACAUCAUCCGCAACAACAUCAUCCUCAGCAGCAGCUGCAUCAGGACCCGACGACGCCGCUGCUUCAGGCAGCAUCCGCGCCAUCGGCAGCCUCCACGUCGAGCUGCAAGUACGCCGACUCAACGUCCUCCACCAGCGUCGCGUCUCCUCAAGAUCUGUCCACGUCCACCUCCAGGAACAGUCCCACACCUCUGGUGGCACCUGGUACCAGCAAAACCGCGUCAGGUCUCACCUCGCCGCCAGGAAGCUCCUCGAGGUCGUCCGUGGCCGCAUCGGCCUCCUCUCCAGCCAGCGGAAGUUCUAGACCCGUGGGCGAAGGAAGUUCCACCUUGACCACCGCGUCGUCCGCGUCCUCGCCUGCAUCAUCCACCUCUAGCACCUCCAGCACCGGGAAUAACUCGUCCAACAAGUCGAACGCCACCGGCAGCAAUCCACCGCAGAUUUACCCGUGGAUGAAGAGGGUGCACAUCGGACAGAGCACGGUGAACGCGAAUGGCGAAACAAAACGACAGAGGACGUCGUAUACCAGGUACCAAACACUGGAGUUGGAAAAGGAGUUUCAUUUCAAUCGCUACCUGACGAGGCGGCGUCGCAUCGAGAUCGCCCAUGCCCUCUGUCUGACGGAACGUCAGAUAAAGAUCUGGUUCCAGAAUCGGCGGAUGAAGUGGAAAAAGGAGCACAAGAUGGCGAGCAUGAACAUUGUACCGUACCACAUGUCGCCGUACGGACACCCUUACCAGUUCGCGCCCCACCCAGGCCAGUUCGCUCACUUGGCCACAUAGGACGAGUUCUCGCCCGCCGAGCUCGGAGCACACGCUGUCCGGUUCCCCGGGAUGUACGGCGAGCAGAACUUCUAAAAGGCUUUUUCUCCGCUUUCAGCCUGGCCGCGUCACCGGCUCGUCCCGCGUGACCCGCCGCGCCGGGCUGGGACACACUUCACUUCCAGUAGGACACGUGGUGAGACCCAACGAGGUCUGACACAGGCCACCGAUGCCUAGACGGAUUGUCACUCGUCAAGCAGAAUUUCUUCUUCCCUUCUCUUCCUUUUUCUUCUUAUUCUCAGACAGGGAAAUAUGUUGUUCAGAGCUUUUUAUCGUAGGGCUUCACACAGCAAGUAUGAUGUUAGGGUUAACCCUCGCGUCAAUAACUAACUACUCAUUUUCACAUUGACGUCAUAGCACUUGUUUACGAAGGUUUUAUAUCAGAUAGAAACGACGACCCACAAGCCUGUCAGCAUCGGCCUGUGUACACAAAUAUACUCCGUCACAUAGGACUAUUCGAAGUUGAAGAGAAGCCAAAAAAUUUUCUGCAAAACACGCCGUGCGCCCGAUCAAAUGGACUGGACGCGCUCCGAGGGGCUCUCGUCGCGACUAGAUUGCAAGAGUAUUGGAUAUUUGAACGCGGACGAGAGGCUACCUCAGCGGGUGAGAUGAAACCGAAUCAGUAGUUUAAGGCGUAGAAAUUAGCGGUCUAAAUAAUUAAUUAAUUGAGCGACUAAUUAAUUAAUUAUCAUGUCUGGCUGCGCACCGUUCCGCAUCUCUGAAUUACCUUUGUCCACCUCUCCUGUACCCACUUCCUCAGCAUCUUAAUCCUGCCCACACGCCGUUUCCCUAUGUCCCGAAAACGAAAGAAAGCAGACAAGAUGCGCUGAUGUACUUACUUCUCGUUUCUUCUUCCACUUCCUCUUUCUCUUUCUCUUCUUUCGCUCGUUCGAUCUAUCUGUCCGUGCGCGUUCGCCAGGGAGAGACGGUGGAACUCGCGAGCAAUCCGCUCUCUCCCCGACGAAGCGCAGUUUCUAUGUGCACGUUAAAGUCUCUACUUCAUAGUACGUAAGGUGCCUAUUAAUACUCGAGUCUCUAUUCUCUGCCGUUUUUCGAUAGAGGCUGCUGAAUCUAUUAAACGUCCGUUCGAACGACGCUCCUUGAAAACCGAACCGACGAUACGCAUAAUACUCUUUAGCAAAUAAGGCGAAAAAAGUAGUGGCGAUGACUGUGAAUUCGAAUCGUCGCGCAAUUUUGAAGCUCGUUUGCUACUCCGUGGACGCGUUAAAUCAAAUUGGCCGGGAAAGUAUCGCUUUGUAAACUCACAUGAAUUUUACGUCGCGUUUAAUUUUAGUCAAUGUUCAUUAAUUCUAAGAUUUCCAUUUCGAUCCAAAUUGGGCUCAAACUGAAGAAUGCAUAGCUUAUUUUGCUUAUGAAACGUGAACGUUUAGCCAGGUCCCAAUCCUCCAUGGAAGAAACGCGUUUGCGACCGCGCAUGCGCCCUCUCACCUCUGCGCAUUCGCAACUGCGCAUCUUAACGCAGUACCACGCGCAACACGAGCGAAUUGAACGAUCUCUGCGCGUCGAUAUACUGUACCAACGAGAAAUAAAAGAAAAACGAGCAGUUGUUUCGAGGAGGAGGAGGAAGAGGAGGAAUAGAAGACCUCUCAGCGACCUAAUCGAACGAAACGGCAGAAUCAGCGAACGAGUUGCCGUCGAGCAGAAUAUCAUCGAACAAGAAAAAACUUUCGCUUCAAGUGCAAUAAAUGUUGCGCAUUACAAGAUACGACGAGCAGCUCAUCGAACGAUAAGGGUUUAUGAAUUGCUCGUUAAUCGGUGGAACAACAGGAGCCAACGAUCAGCGGGUAACGCAUAAAAAUCGUGUUAAUUAUGGCCAGCUCGUAAAACAAUAAUUGUUAUGUUUACAAUGGCACCGAUAACGAGCUAUGUAGUUGCUGAAAUUCCAAGCCGCGAUAACAUUCGAGUCGAAAGAUCGAACGAUGCCCAGCCGGAGGUUAUCUGGUCGCACGCCAGGGUCGUUUUCUUUGCCUGUAAUACGUUCGAUUCGAUCGCUCUUUAAUUGGACACGUUCUAUGUAUGCCGAUCUCGCUGUCCAACCAACGAAAAUCGCAAAUUAUCCGCAAUUAUCGAUAAGCAGAAUGGCCGAUUUGCCAAGCAAGAAAAUAAUAAUUCUUCAUUGAAAGAUAAGGCCACGAGCAAUGAUUGCAUCCCUUAAGAGGAGAGUUAACAGGAGAUUUCCUUGAUUAUCAGCUACUUCAUCUUCAGGUAUCUUUAAUCAUCCAAUUGUGCGUGGUGUUUGAGAUAUUUAUUGAGGGCGAGUUAUUUUUUAGUCUUAUAAAUUAAAAUUUGCAUUCAACCUUUCUGUCGAUCCGAUGGUCAUCAAGUGGUAUUCUCUUUCGAAUGUACAUACUUACCUGCUUAUAAUUAAAAGAAAAUCGACGUCGAUCGAAAGUGGAAGACUACGAUCAGAGAGAUCCGUGAGUAACAGAGUCGAAGAUCCGCCUUGAGAGGGACGAUAAGAUCGCGUGACAACAGCGGGAGGUCGCGCGUGAUAAAGAGGCCUCACACCCUCGAAAACUACCGAAACGGACAGGAGUCGUGUAACAAGGAGACGAGAGAAGACAAGAGGAUCGAACGCAAGUCAUGAUUCGUGCGAGCAAGUUAUGUGUACUCUCCUCGUGUGUUAAGGUACGAGCAUGCUACCGACGAUGACGGCGCUGAUUCGAUCACGAUCAACAUCGGCUUGGUUCCUCUUCAACGACCAUGACUUUCCUUGUAGAUCGUCAUGAUAGACCUCACGGAACCAAGGAUGAAGCAACUACGGCGCCGUCGAAUUAUCGAUUCUUUCCGUUUCGCUGGAUUCACUGCUGGUGAAUCGGUGAUUGCCAGUCGUACGACGAACUCGUUGACAAGAAAAACAUGACUGGUUCCUCGAAGAACGGACGGUCGCGCGUGGAAAGGCAUUAACAGGCAGUCGCUAAGAGGUUGGAAUGGUCCGCGUUUGGAAAAGUUCUAUAACUCGAUCGUCGGUGUCAGUUUUUCCGCGGCCGAGUCAGAAAGGGCACCG